UUUUUUUUUUUUUUUUUUUUGAGAAUGUUGCUUCUCUAUAAAUCGUGAAUGUAUAAAAGAAGUAUUAAAUUCAUGAGAAAUUAUAUGUGGAUACAUUUAUUACAAAUAAACUCAACACAAAACAAACGACAAAACAAAACAAACAAAAGAUUCUACAAUACUACUUCUGGUAAAGACGAAAUAAACUGGCAUAAUUGUACAGAAGUAAUCAAACUCUAUUACAUUUGUAUAGGAAAAGAAUUUCCUAUUAUUAAACCAAUGACAUCUUUUAAUGCAGAUUAACCUUAGGCCACGGAAACAGAUGGCCUUUACAUCAUCUACCCUAUAGACCACAAGGUCUGAAAGAGGAACCAUGGCAUUGCUUGUAAAAUUUAGUCAUAAAAAAGAUUGUUUGUGUUAUCACACAAACUCAUAAGGGGCUCCAAGGGUCAGGCUUAUGCGUGUAUUGACAGUAUUGUACGCAGGCGGACAAAAUAUGGAGACAUACAAAAGAUUGUUCCGAAGUUACCUUUUUUUAAUAAAAAAUUAGUAAUUUAAUAAAUAAAAAUGACCACUGCGAAUGGUCUAGGUAAAAAACUAAAGAAUUGUUAAUUUAUUUGUU